AACGCACGAGACCUGCGGACCUGCGGAGGGAUCAUUAGUGAACGCCCUCACGGGCUUAUAACUAUUCCAAACCUCUGUGAACCGUGCCCUUCGGGGCUAUUUUACAAACAUGGUGUAAUGAGCGUCAUAUAUCAUAACAAAACAAAACUUUCAACAACGGAUCUCU
rnacentral:misc_RNA from 1 species